rnacentral:rRNA from 1 species
CGAACGCUGGCGGCGUGCUUAACACAUGCAAGUCGAACGCGAAAGGGACCUCGGUCCUGAGUAAAGUGGCGCACGGGUGAGUAACGCGUAGAUAACCUGUCUUCAUGUCUGGAAUAAUACGCCGAAAGGGGUACUAAUACCGGAUAUUCUUGCUUUUCAUAAGUUAUGCAAGCAAAGGUGGCCUCUGCAUAUGCUACUGCAUGAAGAGGGGUCUGCGUACCAUUAGCUAGUAGGUGGGGUAAUGGCCUACCUAGGCGACGAUGGUUAGCGGGUCUGAGAGGAUGAUCCGCCACACUGGCACUGGAACACGGGCCAGACUCCUACGGGAGGCAGCAGUGAGGAAUAUUGCGCAAUGGGGGAAACCCUGACGCAGCGACGCCGCGUGAGUGAAGGAAGGCCUUCGGGUCGUAAAGCUCUGUCAAGAGGAAAGAAGUGUACAAUGGCUAAUACCUGUUGUAUUUGACGGUACCUCUAAAGGAAGCACCGGCUAACUCCGUGCCAGCAGCCGC